rnacentral:lncRNA from 10 species
ACUGAGACUCCCAGCGCCACCAACGUCGGAGUUGCAGUUUCUUUAGCUGUCAUAUGCAGACAAGUACUACCCACCUCGCCUUUGGAGUGAGCAGCAUGUAUGUACGGUACCUGACACCUAAGAAAUGCUCAAUGUAUGGUCCCUACAUGGUGUCACUGUGAUUGUUGUCGUUGUGGUUACGCUGGGUUGGGCAGCUCGCCUUGUGAAAUAAUGAGCUCCCAUUGCUGAGACCGUUCAGGCACAAGUUGAAUGAGUUCGGGGGACAAAAAGAAAUACGUUAGAACAGGAAGUCCCCCAAAUUUGGCAUCCCUCAAUACCGAUCUGGUGACUUCAGAAUCACCUGGGAAGCUCAAACAGCACCUCAGACCAGGGAUCGAAAUCCCGGAAGGCAAGCUCGUCUAAAAGUACAGCUUCAUGUGUAAACCACUGAUCUAGGCCAAUAGUCCCUGCACUUUUCAUCUUCAAAGACCCUUCUGUGAUUCCCUCCUGCCCCACUGACUGCACAGUGUAAAGUAUGUUGUUGACCAAACUAGAUUUAACUCACAAUUAAUUUACUCUCUAACUAAAUUAUUAAUCAAAGCCCCAGAGUUCAUUAAACAAUUAUUGAAUACCUACUGUGUGCCAGGCACUGUGCUGGACACUGGUGGUCUGGCGGAUAGACAAGGACUCUGUCCUCAUGGACUUACCAGUCUGGGGAGGGAAAGCAGAAAAUGAACAAGAAUUCAAAUACUGACACUGAAGCCAAGAGAAUCCAGCUGAG